rnacentral:lncRNA from 1 species
CACUGGUGCCUGCGGCCCCCGGGACCCACGGCGGCAGACUGUGGCUCGGCCAAGGCUCAUCGGAGGUGGGGUGACCAACUGAGGGAGGUGAGAGAAAACCGGCCCAAGGGGCGGGAGGGACGUGACCCCGAAUACGGCCUGGACUCCUUUUAGCCUCGGCUUAAGAGUUCGGGGUCCAAGGGUGCUUUUGUCCCCCCGCCCGCCUUCCCUCCCUCUUCUCGCGGCUGCCGGCGAAUUGGCCUUCAAAUCGGUGUCCUUGAAGAUGUCAGCCCGCGGUGAGGGGCGAGGGGAAUCAGCCACAAAUUAGAGAAAAACCUUCUCCCCCGAGAAGGCGGAUAGGGGCGGGCAGGACAGGCCAAGAGCCCAACCGCGGCCCUCAGUAUCACGAGACUUCAGAGCCUCGGGGGCCAAGUCCCGCCCUCCCGAGAGGAUGAAGGCGAUGCUUGGGCGGCCGCUAGGAGGCGUCGGUCUUUCCGUCUGCCAAUGGAGCCGGAACGGGACGAUGGCUCGGCCUCCAUACUGGCUGCCGCCCACGCGCGCUUGCAAGACGGCCAGCAUGAAGCCGCUGAACGACUCUAUUCGGAGUACAUCUGCCAAGGCGCCAACAAUGACGGUGUCGCCCCCGGCCCUCGAGGAGUCCACGGAAAGCGAUGACCAGACAGUGACCUGUUCAUUCUUCACAUGCCCACCCAGUGCAACUGGCUUGAAGUUGAAGCUUUAUUGCUCUUCCUCUGCCUCCCACCCUCCAAGUGUGGGAGUCCCUCAAGUUCACUUUUGGGUCCCCUUCUAUUCUCCAUCUACACCCACUCCCAUGGAAAACUCAUUCACUCUCAUGGCUUGAACUUCCAUCCCUACAUGGAAUGCCAAAUCUACCUCUCCAGCUCUGAUCUCUCUCCUUCUCUGAAGUUGCACAUUUCCUCCUGCCUUCAGGACAUCUUCUACCUGGAUAUCCCCUCAACGUCUUAAACAUAGGUUCAAAACAGAACUCCUCAUCUUCCCACCCAAACCCUUUCCUCCCCUUGUUUUUUCCAUCACUACAA